UAGGUUUGCAAAAACUUGUGAGCACAUUUUCCCAUCACCUGCCUUUCCAUCAGAGGAUAUUGUGCCAAACUUUUGCCUUCUCAUCAUUCUAACUUAAGACUGCUGAUCUAUUCUUCCUCUCAGAAAAAGAAAGAUCUACAUUGACUCCAGAAAAAUAUACAGCAAUCACAACAACAAAAGACAAAAUUUAACAGGCUACACUGCUUACAGCAGGAGGAUCUAUAGAAGAAGACUUAAGCAGCCCAAAGGAAAACAACUGAGCAUAAUGACCAGUUUUACAUACAG